rnacentral:rRNA from 1 species
GACGAACGCUGGCGGCGUGCUUAACACAUGCAAGUCGAACGGAAAGGUCCUGCUUUUGUGGGGUGCUCGAGUGGCGAACGGGUGAGUAACACGUGAGUAACCUGCCCUUGACUUUGGGAUAACUUCAGGAAACUGGGGCUAAUACCGGAUAGGAGCUCCUGCUGCAUGGUGGGGGUUGGAAAGUUUCGGCGGUUGGGGAUGGACUUGCGGCUUAUCAGCUUGUUGGUGGGGUAGUGGCUUACCAAGGCUUUGACGGGUAGCCGGCCUGAGAGGGUGACCGGCCACAGUGCGACUGAGAUACGGCCCGGACUCCUGCGGGAGGCAGCAGUGUGGAAUAUUGCACGAUGGGCGGAAGCCUGAUGCAGCAACGCCGCGUGCGGGAUUACGGCCUUCUGGUUUUAGACCGCUUUCUCCUGUGACUAAGCGUGAGUGACGGUAAUGUGUAAAGAAGCACCGGCUAACUACGUG